rnacentral:rRNA from 1 species
UACGAAGGGGGCAAGCGUUGUUCGGAUUUACUGGGCGUAAAGGGCGCGCAGGCGGCUCGCCAAGUCAGAUGUGAAAGCCCAGGGCUCAACCCUGGAAUUGCCUUUGAUACUGACUGUCUUGAGUGUGGGAGAGGUGUGUGGAACUCCGAGUGUAGAGGUGAAAUUCGUAGAUAUUCGGAAGAACACCAGUGGCGAAGGCGACACACUGGCCCAUUACUGACGCUGAGGCUCGAAAGCGUGGGGAGCAAACAGG